GGAUUCCCCUAGUAACUGCGAGUGAAGAGGGAAAAGCUCAAAUUUAAAAUCUGAGGGCCCUCCUAUGGCCUUCCGAGUUGUAAUCUAGAGAAGUGCUAUCCGCGCUGGACCGUGUAUAAGUCUCCUGGAACGGAGCGUCAUAGAGGGUGAGAAUCCCGUCUUUGACACGGACUACCAGGGCUUUUGCGAUGCGCUCUCAAAGAGUCGAGUUGUUUGGGAAUGCAGCUCCAAAUGGGUGGUAAAUUCCAUCUAAAGCUAAAUAUUGGCGAGAGACCGAUAGCGAACAAGUACCGUGAGGGAAAGAUGAAAAGAACUUUGGAAAGAGAGUUAAACAGUACGUGAAAUUGUUGAAAGGGAAACGCUUGAAGUCAGUCGCAUUGGUCAGUAAUCAACCUUGCUUUUUCUGCUUGGUGUAUUUUCUGGUUAAUGGGUCAGCAUCAAUUUUGACCGGUGUAUAAAGGUCAGAGGAAUGUGGCAUCUUCGGAUGUGUUUAUAGCUUUUGGUUGCAUACGCCGGUUGGGAUUGAGGAACUCAGCACGCCGCAAGGCCGGGUUUUUACCACGUACGUGCUUAGGAUGCUGGCAUAAUGGCUUUAAUCGACCCGUCUUGAAACACGGACCAAGGAGUCUAACAUGCACGCGAGUGUUUGGGUGGAAAACCCGAGUGCGGAAUGAAAGUGAAAAUUGAGAUCCCUGUCGUGGGGAGCAUCGAUGCCUGGACUUGAUCUUUUGUGACGGUUCCACGGUUGAGCGUGUAUGCUGGGACCCGAAAGAUGGUGAACUAUGCCUGAAUAGGGUGAAGCCAGAGGAAACUCUGGUGGAGGCUCGUAGCGAUUCUGACGUGCAAAUCGAUCGUCAAAUUUGGGUAUAGGGGCGAAAGACUAAUCGAACCAUCUAGUAGCUGGUUC
rnacentral:rRNA from 1 species